CCUACGGGCGGCAGCAGUGAGGAAUAUUGGUCAAUGGGCGCGAGUCUGAACCAGCCAAGUCGCGUGAGGGAAGACGGUCCUAUGGAUUGUAACCCUCUUUUGUCGGGGAGCGAAAAACGCCACGCGUGUCGUUUCGAGAAUACCCGAAGAAAAAGCAUCGGCUACCUCCGUGCCAGCAGCCGCGGUACUACGGAGGAUGCGAGCGUUAUCCGGAUUUUUUGGGUGUAAAGGGUGCGCAGGCGGAAGAUCAAGUCAGCGGUAAAAUUGCGGGGCUCAACCUCUUCGAGCCGUUGAAACUGGUUUUCUUGAGUGAGCGAGAAGUAUGCGGAAUGCGUGGUGUAGCGGUGAAAUGCAUAGAUAUCACGCAGAACUCCGAUUGCGAAGGCAGCAUACCGGCGCUCAACUGACGCUCAUGCACGAAAGUGUGGGUAUCGAACAGGAUUAGAUACCCCAGUAGUC
rnacentral:rRNA from 1 species